rnacentral:rRNA from 1 species
AUUGAACGCUGGCGGCAGGCCUAACACAUGCAAGUCGAGCGGAUGAAGGGAGCUUGCUCCUGGAUUCAGCGGCGGACGGGUGAGUAAUGCCUAGGAAUCUGCCUGGUCGUGGGGGAUAACGUCCGGAAACGGGCGCUAAUACCGCAUACGUCCUGAGGGAGAAAGUGGGGGAUCUUCGGACCUCACGCUAUCAGAUGAGCCUAGGUCGGAUUAGCUAGUUGGUGGGGUAAAGGCCUACCAAGGCGACGAUCCGUAACUGGUCUGAGAGGAUGAUCAGUCACACUGGAACUGAGAGACGGUCCAGGCUCCUACGGGAGGCAGAAGUGGGGAAUAUUGGACAAUGGGCGGAAGCCUGAUCCAGCCAUGCCGCGUGUGUGAAGAAGGUCUUCGGAUUGUAAAGCACUUUAAGUUGGGAGGAAGGGCAGUAAGUUAAUACCUUGCUGUUUUGACGUUACCAACAGAAUAAGCACCGGCUAACUUCGUG